CACACUGGAACUGAGAUACGGUCCAGACUCCUACGGGAGGCAGCAGCUAAGAAUCUUCCGCAAUGGGCGAAAGCCUGACGGAGCGACACUGCGUGAACGAAGAAGGACGAAAGAUUGUAAAGUUCUUUUAUAAGUGAGGAAUAAGCUUUGUAGGAAAUGACAAAGCGAUGACGUUAAUUUAUGAAUAAGCCCCGGCUAAUUACGUGCCAGCAGCCGCGGUAAUACGUAAGGGGCGAGCGUUGUUCGGGAUCAUUGGGCGUAAAGGGUGAGUAGGCGGAUAUGCAAGUCUAUGUGUAAAAUACCACAGCUCAACUGUGGAACUAUGCUGGAAACUGCAUGACUAGAGUCUGAUAGGGGAAGUUAGAAUUCCUGGUGUAAGGGUGGAAUCUGUUGAUAUCAGGAAGAAUACCAGAGGCGAAGG
rnacentral:rRNA from 1 species